AGUCGAACGGCAGCACGGGGGCAACCCUGGUGGCGAGUGGCGAACGGGUGAGUAAUACAUCGGAACGUGUCCUGUAGUGGGGGAUAGCCCGGCGAAAGCCGGAUUAAUACCGCAUACGCUCUGCGGAGGAAAGCGGGGGAUCUUAGGACCUCGCGCUACAGGGGCGGCCGAUGGCAGAUUAGCUAGUUGGUGGGGUAAAGGCCUACCAAGGCGACGAUCUGUAGCUGGUCUGAGAGGACGACCAGCCACACUGGGACUGAGACACGGCCCAGACUCCUACGGGAGGCAGCAGUGGGGAAUUUUGGACAAUGGGGGCAACCCUGAUCCAGCAAUGCCGCGUGUGUGAAGAAGGCCUUCGGGUUGUAAAGCACUUUUGUCCGGAAAGAAAACCUCUGCCCUAAUACGGUGGGGGGAUGACGGUACCGGAAGAAUAAGCACCGGCUAACUACGUGCCAGCAGCCGCGGUAAUACGUAGGGUGCAAGCGUUAAUCGGAAUUACUGGGCGUAAAGCGUGCGCAGGCGGUUCGCUAAGACAGAUGUGAAAUCCCCGGGCUUAACCUGGGAACUGCAUUUGUGACUGGCGGGCUAGAGUAUGGCAGAGGGGGGUAGAAUUCCACGUGUAGCAGUGAAAUGCGUAGAGAUGUGGAGGAAUACCGAUGGCGAAGGCAGCCCCCUGGGCCAAUACUGACGCUCAUGCACGAAAGCGUGGGGAGCAAACAGGAUUAGAUACCCUGGUAGUCCACGCCCUAAACGAUGUCAACUAGUUGUCGGGCCUUCAUUGGCUUGGUAACGUAGCUAACGCGUGAAGUUGACCGCCUGGGGAGUACGGUCGCAAGAUUAAAACUCAAAGGAAUUGACGGGGACCCGCACAAGCGGUGGAUGAUGUGGAUUAAUUCGAUGCAACGCGAAAAACCUUA
rnacentral:rRNA from 1 species